rnacentral:rRNA from 1 species
AUUGAACGCUGGCGGCAUGCCUUACACAUGCAAGUCGAACGGUAACAGGUUAAGCUGACGAGUGGCGAACGGGUGAGUGAUAUAUCGGAACGUGCCCAGUCGUGGGGGAUAACUGCUCGAACGAGCAGCUAAUACCGCAUACGACCUGAGGGUGAAAGCGGGGGAUCGCAAGACAGCGCGCGAUUGGAGCGGCCGAUAUCAGAUUAGGUAGUUGGUGGGGUAAGAGCCCACCAAGCCAACGAUCUGUAGCUGGUCUGAGAGGACGACCAGCCACACUGGGACUGAGACACGGCCCAGACUCCUACGGGAGGCAGCAGUGGGGAAUUUUGGACAAUGGGCGCAAGCCUGAUCCAGCCAUGCCGCGUGCGGGAAGAAGGCCUUCGGGUUGUAAACCGCUUUUGUCAGGGAAGAAAAGGUUCUGGUUAAUACCUGGGACUCAUGACGGUACCUGAAGAAUAAGCACCGGCUAACUACGUGCCAGCAGCCGCCGUAA